UACAGAGGUCUCAAGCGUUUGUUCGGAUUCAUUGGGCGUAAAGGGUGCGUAGGCGGCGCGGUAAGUCGGGUCGUGAAAUCUCGGAGCUUAACUCCGAAACUGCAUUCGAUACUGCCGUGCUUGAGGACUGGAGAGGAGACUGGAAUUUACGAUGUAGCGGUGAAAUGCGUAGAUAUCGUAAGGAAGACCAGUGGCGAAGGCGGGUCUCUGGACAGUUCCUGACGCUGAGGCACGAAGGCCCAGGGGAGCAAACGGG
rnacentral:rRNA from 1 species